UGGCUCACCAAGGCGACGAUGCGUAGCCGACCUGAGAGGGUGAUCGGCCGCAUUGGGACUGAGACACGGCCCAGACUCCUACGGGAGGCAGCAUG
rnacentral:rRNA from 1 species